rnacentral:lncRNA from 1 species
GCCAUUUGUAAACAUGACAGGUCGUGAGAAAGAAACUCUUAAACAGUUAUUUGACGAUUAAUUUAAAAGGGAUAAUGAAUGGCAUUGCGCGAUUUACAGAUCAACUUUUGAUCAACAACUGAGGAACAUCUGGCAUAUUGCUAUGUCCAUAAACAAAAAAGGAUUUCUCAAGGCAUGCCUACAUACCACAUGUUGGAAGAGUUUGUGGAAUGGCUGAAGGAUGAAAGAAUUUCCAGAAAAAUAAAAUUCUUUAUGAAUUUGUGAAUGGAAAUGAAACCCAAGGAACUAAUAUAUUUGCUUACCAUCCAGUUGAAAGUAUGCCAAUGGAAUAAAGUGCAACUGUCACAGAAGUGCACACAAUAAGGUCAUGCUUUCUGCAAAAGUUCACCAAGCUGAUUCAAACUACAAAUGGGAGUCA